UUGAAACUUGAAUCGUAGCAUUGAGAACUGUUGCUGACCUGUUAAAGGGUAUGUGCACGUUCGACGUGUUGCGUUCUAUUCAUCCACCUGUGCACCUUUGUAGACUUGAUUAACUUUCGCUUUCGAGCGGUUAGAAGGGUUGCUUUCGAGCUCCCUUUGUCUAUCAGGUCUAUGUCUAUAUAAUCUCUUGUAUGUCUAGAAUGUCUUGUUUAUGGGACGCAAGUCCUUUAAAUCUUAUA
rnacentral:misc_RNA from 1 species